AUUGAACGCUGGCGGAAUGCUUUACACAUGCAAGUCGAACGGCAGCACGGACUUCGGUCUGGUGGCGAGUGGCGAACGGGUGAGUAAUGUAUCGGAACGUGCCCAGUCGUGGGGGAUAACGUAGUGAAAAUUACGCUAAUACCGCAUACGAUCUAUGGAUGAAAGCGGGGGAUCGCAAGACCUCGAGCGAUUGGAGCGGCCGAUAUCAGAUUAGGUAGUUGGUGGGGUAAAGGCCCACCAAGCCAACGAUCUGUAGCUGGUCUGAGAGGACGACCCGCCACACUGGAACUGGGACACGGUCCAGACUCCUACGGGAGGCAGCAGUGGGGAAUUUUGGACAAUGGGCGAAAGCCUGAUCCAGCCAUUCCGCGUGCAGGAUGAAGGCCCUCGGGUUGUAAACUGCUUUUGUACAGAACGAAAAGGUUUCUACUAAUACUAGGAGCUCAUGACGGUACUGUAAGAAUAAGCACCGGCUAACUACGUGCCAGCAGCCGCCGUAA
rnacentral:rRNA from 1 species